ensembl:lncRNA
CCGAGAUGAGUUUUCUCAGAAGGGUGGCUGGCGUCUCCCUAACUCGGAUUAGAGCCGCUGCUCCUUUACUUAGAAAGGAGUCAGCUGAGGUGGUUCGGGUAUCUGGUAAGGAUGCCCACUGGGCGCCUUCCUUGGGAGGUGUUUCAGGCACGUCCAGUGGGGAGGAGACCUCGGGGAAGACCCAGGACUAGGUGGAGAGAUUAUAUCUCAACACUGGCCUGGGAACGCCUCGGGAUCCCCCCGUCAGAGUUGGUCAAUGUGGCCCGGGAAAGGGAAGUCUGGGGCCCCCUGCAUGAGCUGCUCCCCCCGCGACCCGACCCCGGAUAAGCGGAUAGGAGACCGGUACUUUGGAACAUGAGGAUCGACAUAUACAGAGAUAAAAACAAAACCAACAGGCUUGGAAAGAGAUCGCUGAGGAGUUUGGCCUGCAAGAGACUCAUAGAGAGAUUAUCGAACAGCGACGAUGGACAGGAAGACAUUGUUUUCUUUGUGGGCUCAACUGACCCCUGCUUCCAUCAUGAUGGCGGACAGGGAGUCCUACACCGAGGUGACCAGGCUCGUCCCCGCCCCCCCUACUGAGGCCAAGCCCCCGGGCCUUAACCCCCGCUACCCUCGUGGGGCUAGGCUGCCCUGGUUGGCUGCCCCAGCUGGUGGCAGCAACGAGAGGGUCGUCCUCCGCCCCCCGACUGAGGCCAAGCCCCCGGGCCUUAACCCCCGCUACCCUCGUGGGGCUAGGCUGCCCCGAUUGGCUGUGGCUGAGGAGGCUGACGGCCAGGAAGCCUGGAUCACGGCGGCCCACUCCGACACCGUGUCCCUCUGUGCACGGGCUCUGGGUGCCGUCUCGAGCCAGGAGACUUCCCCGGGCCGAACCCCCCCAGAAGUGGCUGACCCUGACCACCAUCGUGGGGCUAGGCUGCCCCGGUUGGCUGCCCCAGCCGCUGGCCCCAACGAGAGGAUCGUCCUCCGCCCCCCUACUGAGGCCAAGCCCCCGGGCCUUAACCCCUGCUACCCUCGUGGGUCUAGGCUGCCCCGGUUGGCUGUGGCUGAGGAGGCUGACGGCCAG